rnacentral:lncRNA from 1 species
CCUGCCCUGCUCUACUUGGUUCCCUGCACCUUAGGUAAUGAACGGAAUCUACUUGCUCUGCUGGUGAAUAUUUAAAUCCUCCAUUGAUCUGCUAUGAUGUCGUUCAUGAAUGAUGUCCAUUUCUGGGGUUAAAUUAUCAAGUGUUGCUGUUAUUUUGGGUGGGAUAAGAGGAGAACUAAAUGAUCUUUAAAACUUCAGAGAAAAACAUUCUGAUGCCAGUCCUGCUAGAGAUGUUUAAGCACUACUCUGCUGAAUCUCAUGACAGAUGUCCAUCAAGCUUCAUCAACAUACUGAUGCCAUCAUCUCAGCAGAAACUGCUAGAGAACCGCACUCCUUGCUACAGAUUAUUAGAUCUGGCAGAGACGAGAGAGAGUCAGGAAGCUCGUUGCUCAAAAGAUGUAGCAAAGUUUGGGAACAACUUCUCCAUCCUUGAUAACAAGCUAAUCAUCAUCCAAUUGCUUCAUCUCUUUUUGCCAUCACAUGUGAUGUGGUUUUAAUCCUGUAAUAUCCCAAUCGGAUAUGCAUUUGUGAUGUUCAUGUAGACAAUUUGUACCAUCAUUGUAUUUAUAAUAUCCUUCAGGUAACUUGUUGAAAGAUCUUUUGUUUCUUUU